GAAGAGGGAAAAGCUCAAAUUUAAAAUCUGGCAGCUUCGCUGUCCGAGUUGUAAUUUAGAGAAGUGUUACCCGUUCUGGACCGUGUACAAGUCUCCUGGAACGGAGCGUCAUAGAGGGUGAGAAUCCCGUCUUUGACACGGACUCCCAGUGCAUUGUGGUACGCUCUCAAAGAGUCGUGUUGUUUGGGAAUGCAGCACUAAAUGGGUGGUAAAUUCCAUCUAAAGCUAAAUAUUGGCGAGAGACCGAUAGCAAACAAGUACCGUGAGGGAAAGAUGAAAAGAACUUUGGAAAGAGAGUUAAACAGUACGUGAAAUUGUUGAAAGGGAAACGCUUAAAGUCCAGUCGCGUUGGUUGGAAAUCAGUCUUGCUUCUGCUUGAUGUACUUUCUAACUGACGGGUCAGCAUCAGUUUUGACCGUUGGAUAAAGGUUGGAGGAAUGUGGCAUCUUCGGGUGUGUUAUAGCCUUCAAUUGUAUACAACGGUUGGGACUGAGGAACUCAGCACGCCGAAAGGCCGGGUCUUGUACCACGUUCGUGCUUAGGAUGCUGGCAUAAUGGCUUUAAUCGACCCGUCUUGAAACACGGACCAA
rnacentral:rRNA from 1 species